AGAUAUUCAUUAUAAUGUUGUAUAAUUAAAUUAUAAAUAACAAUAAUGUAGAAAGCAAUUUUUUUUUAUUUUGUAGGUUCGUAUUUGAUUCGUAGUUUUAGUUGAUUUGACUAACCUAAAUCCUUUUCUCCAAUAAACAAAAAAACAAUCCCGAAAAGACCUUUGGAAUUCCCAAAAAAAAAGACUUUUGAAAUUUUCAAAAUUGCUUCGUUUUUUAUGCAUGACUUUUGGAUGACCGUGCUGUGUUGAAAACGAAAAGAUAAUAAUUUAUUAUCAUAGGGCUCUCAACACUAUAAAUACAUGGUUCUUGAAGUCUUAAGAGAUAAUUUUAGAUAUCUUUUAAUGCGUUGCACUUCUAACAGAUCACCAUCUUCUGUCAAACAAUUUUGUGAGAAAAUUUAACAACUGUGGAAGGUGACAUUAUCAAAAAGGUGAUUCAAGAUAGGCCUAUUUUAAUUGCAACUUCCCUGAAUGUACAAAACUUCAAAGGUAAAAAAUUUUAUAUAAUCAAAUAUGUGCUUCUGAUAUCAUAUUUUGCAAUCAUAACAUUUAAGUUUUGAAUUUUUUCUCUAAUCAUCAGGCAUUUCACUUUCUACAACAUCAAAUACAAUGCUCAAAAUUAAUCCAUCAACAAA
rnacentral:lncRNA from 1 species